UACGUAGGGUGCGAGCGUUGCCCGGAUUUAUUGGGCGUAAAGGGCGCGUAGGCGGCCACGCACGUCCGUUGUGAAAUCGCCCGGCUCAACUGGGCGGGGUCAGCGGAUACGGUGUGGCUCGAGCAAGCUAGGGGGCAAUGGAAUUCCCGGUGUAGUGGUGGAAUGCGUAGAUAGUCGGGAGGAACACCAGUGGCGAAGGCGGUUGCCUGGAGCUUUGCUGACGCUGAGGCGCGAAAGCGUGGGGAGCGAGUCCGG
rnacentral:rRNA from 1 species